CUGCUGAGGGUCUGAGUGUUUCUGAGAACAAACCCGAGUUCAGCUCGAAGUUCUGCUCUGGAUCUGUUCCACUGAACACACAAACUAACACACAACACAGCAGUGGACGUGCUUCUAUGUUGUGGGUUUUCUUGGUGAGACAAUAAAUAGUUUUGUGACUCGUUCUUAACCAGGCAGCCUGUGUUAAGUUGUGACUAUCCCCAGUUGACAUGGACGUGAUUCCUGAACAAUCACCAGGUGUUAAACACCUGACAGGAUGACAGUGAUCUAUAUAGAUGAAGCAGAAUGCGUGCAGAGCUGAUCGGUAGCACAAUGAGUAAAACGGUGGUCUCGUAAUUUUAUCGCUGGAUUACGUGGGUUCGAAUCCUCUCACCGUACUUGAAAAAUACGUGUUUUUUAUUUCGGCCCGCACAUUUCUUUUUACUGUCUGUAGAUAAUAUUAACAUGGAUAUAGACUUUAUUAAGCAGUGAUGCCGGCGUUUUUCGGCGACGUCUUCUUUAUCUGGUAUCUUUAUUUCACGUAAAUCCAGGUCUGAUCGUGACGAAUCUGCGGACGAAACAUCUGGAGACGGAAACUAUCGCCAGUUAACCUGAUCACCAGUUAAACUGGAACACCGGUAAAGUCAAACGCAAGUUAUGUGAUGAACACAGGACAUUUCAACAGUCAUGGGAGGAAGAAUUUGCUUUUGUGGAGGUAAAUAACAAGCCAGUGUGCCUUCUUUGCCAGAAACAGUCCAUUCCAAAACGAACGAAUCUCCAGCGCCACCACGACAGCUGUCUGUCACAAAGACUUCAAAGCUGACUUUCCACCAGGCAGUAAUAUAAGAAAAGACAGAAUAUGCAGUCUCAUUGGAAAUCUUCGUGGUCAACAAACUGUUUUGAGAUUCAGCUGUAAAGAAAGUGACAGAAUCACGGAGGCAUCAUUCAAAGUAGCGUGGAAUGUAGCAAGGAGUCUGCGGUCUUUCACUGAGUGACAGCUGAUAAAAAAGUGUUCUCUGGACUGUAGAGUCCCUUUUUGCCGAGUUUAAAAACAAAGCUGAGAUCAGCCGACAGAUAUCCAAAGUGCAGCUUUCACAUUCAACUCUCAGCAGACGUGUGGAAAUCAUUUCGGAUGAUUUGUUCAUAAAUUGAUCGACGAUCUUAAGAAAACGCAGAACUUCAGCCUGGCCAUAGACGAGUUGCUGCCUGCCUUGGUGAAUGAUGUUUCUGCUUUCAUGGAGAAACUCUCUCUUUAUGAAGACCAGCUUGGUGACCAUGACUUCAGACACUUCCCAAACCUACGUUCACAGGCUGACAGAACUGAAUCUCUCCAGUUACACAGCCGAGUUCCCGGUCUUGCAACAAUCCACUUCUGCAAAUGGAAACCCUUUAGAAAUCUGAGCUCUCACUCUCAGCGUGACCUUGUUGAGCUACAUACCUGGAGAGAACAAGUUGAACAUCAGCGCCCAAAGGCAACACCUUGAUUUUUGACACCAGGGUGUGCUCAACAACAGGGCAUUUUUUAAAGGUUAGUCAUGAAGAUAGAGUCUCUCAAAGAACGUGAAUCUACUGGAAGUGUCAGCGUCUGAAUUUGCUUUCAAAAAGUCAUUAUAUGCAAAAAGUGCAGUAUGAGAUUUCAGCAGACUGGACUGCUGUGUGUCUCAAACGCAGGAUGAACCCAGCAUCCUCUCUGAAUAUCCACAUACGCUCACAUAACAUAAAAGCCCCUCGCAUUACAGGCAUAGCAUCGCAACAGAUCAGUGAUGACACAGCGCUUAUAAGGCCUGUGUAGUGAAGGACACACUCACACUCAACAAAUGUGAUGAUGACAAAGUUAUUCAGUAUUUUUUUCCCACAUACUUUACCUUACAGAGUAAGCAAUGGAAUCUAAAAAUGAGGGUCAUCAGAAGUAAAACAAACCUCCUACACAUAUCGGCAACAACAGGUUGAUUUAAAAAAAAAAAAAAAAAGAAGGUGUGGAGCUGCCAUUGAUAAUUAUCCAGUCAGUAUUUCUUUUCCCUCUUCAUUCUUCUUGAAGAAAAACAUGUCUGAACCUGCUCUGUCAGUUGUAGAAAGGCAUCUUGGGAAUCUGCAAAACAUAUGACAAAGUAGAAGCUAAACUCAAUUUAGAUUAUAUAUAAUUCUUCAUUUAUAAGUAGUAAUUAAUUUAUAAAUACCACCAGUAUUACUUAUAUGCAUGCAGACUACUACAGUUGCUGCAGUUGUCGGUGUGCAUGGAAAUACUGGUGAAUCAUGUCCUUCAGUUUAUUACAUCAGGCUGAUUGAAUAAUGUGUAAUUUCAUCUUCUAUAAAGAUGAUCACAGUCUCUGUUUUCUUGCCUCUUUUGAACAGGAUUAUGUAACUGUUUGUCUGUGGGUGGUAGUGAUGAAGACAAACUAGUUCUUGGAAGCUGUCAUUUACUUCAAACCUGUGAUGUUCCUCCUUAUUAUGUGGUACAUGGUAGUCAGUGUGCUGUGUGGGAUGAUUGCAGGUUGGUGUGUUUGGUGACUGAAGUGACUAAUGAGUCAUGCAUCUGGAUAUUUUAGCAAUUCCGUCCACUGAUAUUAUAGUUGCAUUUCAAUCCAGCUGUUUUGAAGCACAUUUUUGAAUAGAAACACUGAAAAACCUGACAAAAAUCUCAAAAUAUAGCAAACAAGUUUUUAUGCUUGAGAGAUAUGGAAAACCUGGUGAGUGUGACAAAGUACAGUGUAAACAGGUUUAAUGCAUAAAUUAUGAAGAUAAAAUAAAUUACAUGUAAAUGCGAUUUGCAGCUCUUUUAAGGGAACAUCAAUGUAGUAUUAGUUGCAAAAACCCUCCAUUUCCAUUGUCCAGUGUGCUGUGUCACCAAGCUUUCCAUCAUGUUAAUGUACUAAUGGUUUGUUUUCUUUCAUUUGACAUUUGACUGGCACUCCUUUAAUUAUGUCACCUUGCUGCACCCUCUUCUUCUGCAAGUGAUUGGAGAAUUAGUGCCACCAGUCUCAAUGAACCAACUGGGUGGAAACAAGUACAAAUUCAAAUUUUAUUCUGCAGAUGUGCUGAAAAAUUGGUUCAAAUUUAUUUUUGGAUGGAUAACAUGGACUGAAUCAGCAGUCUACUAGUAAAGUCCUAAAAAUUCUGAUUUAGUCUCCAUUUUAAAAUAUUUUACACAUUAUCAUUACCACCAUAUAGGUCCCAUAAAUGACUAUAUUUGGCGUCUUACUAUAAAAAGGGAGUGAUACUUACUGCAUCUGUAAACUCACAGGAAGGUUCCAAGAUUAGACCCUGUAUUUUGGUACUAAUUACAGGGAAAAUGGAGUCAGGGUUACAACACCUCGAAUAAACUGCCAUCAUUAAGUCAGCAGUAAACAUUCAACAUGUAGCAUAAAUAGUAGUAAAUAAAGUUGUUGAUAUGAAAUUAAUAAUGAAGAAUAUUUGUUGAGUUGAAAUGAGGAAAUACCUGAAAAAAUAACAGAAAUUAUCAACCAUUAAUGAGAUUCUUAGUAGAUAAUUAUAUCUUAUUAUAAAUAGCAAUGUGCUAAUUGCAAUUUUAAUGCAAUUAGCACAUUGCAAAGGCUUCAGUUUAGUACAUAUGUUACACAGCUAGCUUUGAAAUGGGUUUAAACUUUACUUUGUCAGUGCUAUUAUAAAUUUACGUCCUUUUCUUAUUGUGACAGCCACAGUUUUGGUUGUACUUUAUGUGGUAAUUCAUCAUAUUUUAAACCUAUUACACAGUGAAUAUCGAACUGAGCUUUACUUGUCACAAAGUUGCAGUAUCUGUAGAAGAUUUGCAAUGAGAUAUUUCCCCCAAAUGUUCAGCCUUAUUUAGCAGAAUAAAAUGCGGCCUAUUAUUAUAAGAACAGUGAUAACACAGCUGGAUGUUAGCACAUUCAACUGGACACAUGGGACAAUCAUGCGUGUAGCAGCAGAUUAAACUCCCCUGCAGUUCAAGGUGUACAUGUAAUCUGUGUAUGAGUGCACCUAAAGCAGAGGUCGUGCCUAAUCUGUGUGUCUGACCGUCUCGUGGUCUGUCUGUGUUGAGAUCAGUGUGUCCCGGUAAAUUCAUAAUGCCAUCUAAUCUGAACUGAAAGCCCUCCCUCACAUCCACCCAGCUGGAGAUUACAAUCAAACAACACAAUGGAGUGUUAAAAAAAAAAUACAUUGGAAAGAAUCCCAGCAUGACUCACUUUCACUGACCACAUACAGUAAAUGUGUGAGUCAGAAACUCAUGUGACAGGAAGGAAAAUCCAGUGUCCCCCUUUGAAUUCAGCUCAGUCACCCUUGAUAUGAAAGGAUUGUGCGCCCUCUUGAGGAAACACAGCGCAAAAGCAGCUUGAAUAAAUAAGCAAAAGGAGCCAACUGAGCUGUCUGGCUUUGAUUCAGAAACAUUUAGAAGUCAUAAAACUGUGAAACAUGUGUUACAGUUUACUCAGUGAUACAGAUAAGAAGCCUGCUGUGUCUCGACUGACAUCUAAAUCCUCUGCAGCUUGCUCUGAUUGUUGGGAUCGCUCUCCAUGUUGCAACCUGAUGUAUUUUCCCCUGCUGCACUAAAAACAAACCAGCUGGGCCAAAAUCACUGAAAUAUAUCACAGCUCUGGACUGUGUGUGCUCACCUUAACCUGAGAAACUGCUGCUCAACACCAGUCUGAGCCCAGAAUUAACACAUUUACCAUCACAAUUAACAACCCAACAUCACAUUUAUUCAACAUUUGACCUAAUUCAUCUGAAGUUUGAAAAACACUGCAUGUCGAACAAAAAUAAACGUCUGUAUGACUUUCAGCACGAGGAGAUGUAUCUCAUCUGGAAAUGAGGCAACAUCCUGGCAAUGCAGGCUCCACUUGAACUCAGCAGAAAGGUGACCGUGAGUAUAAAAAGGCAGACAGGAAAUGUGCUGACUAAUAGGAUUAAGGGUCAGCUGCAUGGUGGAGUGUAUUUAGCAGUGCCAUGGAGGACAUUCUAACAAUGUGAAGGUGAUUCGUUGCCUUUUUUUUCAGUUGAAAUAAGAGGAAAUUUAGCAAAUCUUUUCUUCUACCAAUUUGAAAUUCAGAUUUAAUUUCUGGCAAAAGUUUUUGAUUAAUAUAAAAUGUGGUAGGCAUUCUAGUAUUUCACUAUGUUUUUAGUACAAUUAUGAAUGUGCUGGAUAUACACUGCCA